UACGAAGGGGGCUAGCGUUGCUCGGAAUCACUGGGCGUAAAGCGCACGUAGGCGGCUUUCUAAGUCAGGGGGUGAAAUCCUGGAGCUCAACUCCAGAACUGCCUUUGAUACUGGAGAGCUUGAGUCCGGAAGAGGUGAGUGGAACUCCGAGUGUAGAGGUGAAAUUCGUAGAUAUUCGGAAGAACACCAGUGGCGAAGGCGGCUCACUGGUCCGGUACUGGCGCUGAGGUGCGAAAGCGUGGGGAGCAAACAGG
rnacentral:rRNA from 1 species